UAGGUGAACUGCGGAAGGAUCAUUGUCG
rnacentral:rRNA from 1 species